GCUGGGUGUGGAGGCCUGUGCCUGUAGUCCCAGCUACUUGGGAGGCUGAGGCAGGAGAAUUGCUAGAACCCGGGAGGCAGAGGUUGCAGUGAGCCAAGAUCACGCCACUGCGUUCUAGCCUGGGCGACAGAGCAAGAUUCUGUCUCUU
rnacentral:SRP_RNA from 1 species